CCUACGGGAGGCAGCAGUGAGGAAUAUUGGUCAAUGGACGCAAGUCUGAACCAGCCAUGCCGCGUGCAGGAAGACGGCUCUAUGAGUUGUAAACUGCUUUUGUACGAGGGUAAACGCAGAUACGCGUAUCUUUCUGAAAGUAUCGUACGAAUAAGGAUCGGCUAACGCCGUGCCAGCAGCCGCGGUAAUACGGAGGAUUCAAGCGUUAUCCGGAUUUAUUGGGUUUAAAGGGUGCGUAGGCGGUCGGAUAAGUUAGAGGUGAAAUCCCGAGGCUCAACUUCGGAAUUGCCUCUGAUACUGUUCGGCUAGAGAGUAGUUGCGGUAGGCGGAAUGUAUGGUGUAGCGGUGAAAUGCUUAGAGAUCAUACAGAACACCGAUUGCGAAGGCAGCUUACCAAGCUACUUCUGACGUUGAGGCACGAAAGCGUGGGGAGCAAACAGGAUUAGAUACCCCUGUAGUC
rnacentral:rRNA from 1 species